rnacentral:rRNA from 1 species
GACGAACGCUGGCGGCGUGCCUAAUACAUGCAAGUCGAACGAGAGCGACCGGUGCUUGCACUGGUCAAUCUAGUGGCGAACGGGUGAGUAACACGUGGGUAACCUGCCCAUCAGAGGGGGAUAACAUUCGGAAACGGAUGCUAAAACCGCAUAGGUCUUCGAACCGCAUGGUUUGAAGAGGAAAAGAGGCGCAAGCUUCUGCUGAUGGAUGGACCCGCGGUGCAUUAGCUAGUUGGUGAGGUAACGGCUCACCAAGGCCGUGAUGCAUAGCCGACCUGAGAGGGUGAUCGGCCACAUUGGGACUGAGACACGGCCCAAACUCCGACGGGAGGCAGCAGUAGGGAAUCUUCCGCAAUGGACGCAAGUCUGACGGAGCAACGCCGCGUGAGUGAAGAAGGUUUUCGGAUCGUAAAACUCUGUUGUUAGAGAAGAAUAAGUGCUAGAGUAACUGUUAGCGCCUUGACGGUAUCUAACCAGAAAGCCACGGCUAACUACGUG